UAUCCUUUCAGAUGAGUGGGUGCCCCGGAUGUUCAGGGGUGAAACGGGAAGCGGGUGAAAAGCCCGCGCGGACCCGCCGCUGUAAGUGGGGACAAUGGUUGCAAAUCACCACGGGUGCUGUCAUGGCCUGGAAGGCGCAACCAGAGGUUGAUCCACAAGCCAGAAGACCGGCCCACCCCAUAUCCUCACG
rnacentral:ncRNA from 2 species